GGAUCCGUUUUGGCAUUAUCUCCCACCACCUGUGUGUGUGGAUGAAGUGAGAGGAGGAGUCCUGUGCGUGUCGGCGUCAACGUCGACCGAGCGUCCGUGCCAAGCGCUGCGUCGCCAGGGGCAGCCUGUCGGAAGACUGGGUUGUCCUGGGCGUAUAAAGAGCGGUGUACGGUUCAGACCCGUGAGGGAGCAGGCAAAAGCUGCCGCGCGGUGCAGUGGCCGGAUCGCGCUUGUGAGUUGACACGUACGCACAGCCUCUUCGAUACCUUCAGACCGCU
rnacentral:SRP_RNA from 16 species